GGGGAUUACUAAUGAGAGAAAGCGGAAGCUGGAACAGCAGUUACAGAGCAUCAUGGUUCUCAACCGUCAGUUUGAGCAUGUGCAGAAUUUCAUCAACUGGGCUGUCUGCAGCAAAACCAGUGUCCCUUUUCUUUUCAGCAAAGAGCUGAUUGUGUUUCAGAUGCAGCGAUUGCUGGAGACAAGUUGUAACACAGAUCCUGGCUCCCCUUGGAGUAUCAGAUUCACCUGGGAGCCUAACUUCUGGACCAAGCAGCUAGCUUCUCUUGGCUGCAUAACUACUGAAGGUGGACAAAUGUCCAGGGCAGAUGCUCCUGCUUAUGGAGGCUUACAGGGGUCAUCACCCUUUUAUCAAAGCCACCAGUCUCCAGUGGCUCAGCAAGAGGCUCUUAGCCACCCCUCACACAAGUUCCAGUCUCCAGCAGUGUGCUCCUCAUCUGUGUGCUGCUCCCACUGCUCCCCAGUCUCGCCUUCCCUCAAAGGCCAGGUCCCCCCACCCAGCAUACACCCAGCCCACAGCUUCAGGCAGCCCUCUGAGAUGGUGCCCCAGCAGCUGGGGUCUCUGCAGUGCUCU
rnacentral:lncRNA from 1 species